rnacentral:rRNA from 1 species
GAUGUUCUGGGCCGCACGCGCGCUACACUGACAGAGCCAACGAGUUCUUCACCUUGGCCGGAAGGCUUGGGUACUCUUGUUAAACUCUGUCGUGCUGGGGAUAGAGCAUUGCAAUUAUUGCUCUUCAACGAGGAAUGCCUAGUAAGCGCGUGUCAUCAGCAUGCGUUGAUUACGUCCCUGCCCUUUGUACACACCGCCCGUCGCUACUACCGAUUGAAUGGCUCAGUGAGGCCUUCGGACUGGCUCGGGGAGGUUGGCAACGACCAUCCCGAGCCGGAAAGUUCGUCAAACUCGGUCAUUUAGAGGAAGUAAAAGUCGUAACAAGGUUGAUCCCUCCGUACACUUACGGAAGCCUUUGCAGCUGGAAACAGUUUGAGCGACUAUCAACAAAUCAUUUGCAAGUCAACAUUGUUGGCGACACUUUCGAAUUGCGGGGACUUCCUAAAGCUCUUUACACCAACCCAGGUCGGGAAACCAUCUGGCGGCCCAUGGGAAACUAUGGGGUACGGUAAUAGCGAAAGAGAUGUAACAAUGGACAAUCCGCAGCGAAGCCCCUGUAGUUAAUGGUAGCCAAAGUCAUCCGGGCAACCAAACAUGGGGAACGUUCACAGACUAAGUGGAAGUGGGUGGAGUCACAUUGCUCUGCUUAAGAUAUAGUCGGGCCCCUUGACAAAUGCUGGGGAUGUUCAACCGUUCGUAGGUGAACCUGCGGAAGGAUCAUUA